rnacentral:rRNA from 1 species
GAUGAACGCUAGCUACAGGCUUAACACAUGCAAGUCGAGGGGCAGCAUGGUCUUAGCUUGCUAAGGCCGAUGGCGACCGGCGCACGGGUGAGUAACACGUAUCCAACCUGCCGUCUACUCUUGGACAGCCUUCUGAAAGGAAGAUUAAUACAAGAUGGCAUCAUGAGUCCGCAUGUUCACAUGAUUAAAGGUGUUCCGGUAGACGAUGGGGAUGCGUUCCAUUAGAUAGUAGGCGGGGUAACGGCCCACCUAGUCGUCGAUGGAUAGGGGUUCUGAGAGGAAGGUCCCCCACAUUGGGACUGAGACACGGCCCAA